AGUUUUUUUGAAAAAGAGGUAUCUGUCAACAUAACUAGCAUGAUCAAAAGAUAAAAUUAAAUUACUAAAUUUCAUUCAUACACAAAGGAUGAAAGUAAAUUAAUUAAUAUAUAUUAUUGGAAAAUUAUCUAGUGUUCCGGACAAAAGUAUCGAAACACGGUGUUCAGGGUACGAAAAGGUAGGCUGCUAAAUUUUGUCAUGUAGUAAAGGAUGAAAUGGCAAAAAUAACCCUAUAUCUCUUAAUCAAUUGACAAGAAUAACCAGCUCUAGGCUAUUGGUAAAUUCCUAUUUUGUUGAAGUCGUUUCUGCAAUGAAUGAUGGAGGGCGUGGGCCUGAGCCAUUUAGUUGUUGCCCUGAAUUAUUGUUAGAGGUCCAACAGUUAUAUUAGGCAGAAGAGGAGGCUGGAAAACAGUGGUGUGACUAAGACUCUGAGAAGGACCUAAGGUGGUGGCGUGAGUUGUUGCCUCAACACGACGGAGGUGUGUGUCGGCCCGGAGUAAUUGUUGGAGGUAAAAGGGUUGUAAUUGGCAGGGCAGGAGGCAGGAAAAGUGGUGUUAGUGUUGUGAAAAAGCAUCUGAAAAAGAGUUGGGGUGAAGUUGUCGGUUGCCGCAACAUGACGGAGGUGUGUGUCGUCGGUGGCGAAGGAAAUGGCAGGUGAGUGUCGAAAUAAGCCAGCAUGUUGUUGCUUCUACAAGAGUGAAACAACUUGGGGGAUGGCCAUGGGGUAGUGAUGUUCGAAAUGGAGUCAUGUAGCGGAACAGUGCCGGAAUUUGAGAUUGGAGGUGUUGAGCCAGUAGGUGGCCUUGAUGGAAGUGGUGAAUGGCAUUGCAACACAUUGGAAAGCUCGCUAGAGAUCUUGAAAUGGAAGCGGAAGAGCAAGAGGGAGAACCGCUGGAGGAUUGCGAUGAAGAAGAUAAUGACAUCUCUGAACCAGUCAUGUACAGUGGCGCAGAGAUAUUGGAAAUGGAAUUCAAUAACCCUGAUGAGGCAUCCCAUUUCUAUGAACAAUAUAGCCGGGCGAAGGGUUUUGCCAUGAGGCAGGGAAAGAAACUGAAAAAUAAGAAGGAGAAAUAAACUAAUCCAUAAUUGAAAUAAACUAAUCUUCGUUCAUUAAAUUGAAAUAAACUAAUCCAUAAUACCGCAAAUUUCG